GAUGAACGCUGGCGGCGUGCCUAAUACAUGCAAGUCGAGCGAACGGACGAGGAGCUUGCUCCUCUGACGUUAGCGGCGGACGGGUGAGUAACACGUGGAUAACCUACCUAUAAGACUGGGAUAACUUCGGGAAACCGGAGCUAAUACCGGAUAAUAUAUUGAACCGCAUGGUUCAAUAGUGAAAGACGGUCUUGCUGUCACUUAUAGAUGGAUCCGCGCCGCAUUAGCUAGUUGGUAAGGUAACGGCUUACCAAGGCAACGAUGCAUAGCCGACCUGAGAGGGUGAUCGGCCACACUGGAACUGAGACACGGUCCAGACUCCUACGGGAGGCAGCAGUAGGGAAUCUUCCGCAAUGGGCGAAAGCCUGACGGAGCAACGCCGCGUGAGUGAUGAAGGUCUUCGGAUCGUAAAACUCUGUUAUUAGGGAAGAACAUAUGUGUAAGUAACUAUGCACGUCUUGACGGUACCUAAUCAGAAAGCCACGGCUAACUACGUG
rnacentral:rRNA from 1 species